UAAUCCAAAAUCUGUGCUUGAUCGUAAUCCAUUGCAGUCAUUUUCCGUUGACGAAGGGCCGGAAUGGAAGUUUCGGCAAGUUCCCGGACAGCAGAAGACGAACAUUUAUUCUCCAAUGUUCGCAAGGACUAGACUCAAGCCAGAACCAGGGAGAGUAGGCGAAUUAGACGAAUCCGAUGUUUUCUUCGGUUUUCAUUUCGAACGCCCACAUCCGUGAGGAUGGUGAUUCGGGAGCAUGUUAGCGGUUAUCAGUAUAAUAG